UACAGAGGGUGCGAGCGUUGUCCGGAAUCACUGGGCGUAAAGGGCGCGUAGGCGGCUUGAUAAGGUUGCGGUGAAAGCCCGGGGCUCAACCCCGGGUCGGCCGUGGCAACUGUCGAGCUGGAGCACUGUAGAGGCAGGUGGAAUUCCGGGUGUAGCGGUGGAAUGCGUAGAGAUCCGGAAGAACACCGGUGGCGAAGGCGGCCUGCUGGGCAGUGGCUGACGCUGAGGCGCGACAGCGUGGGGAGCAAACAGG
rnacentral:rRNA from 2 species